UACGUAGGGGGCAAGCGUUGUCCGGAAUCAUUGGGCGUAAAGAGCGUGUAGGCGGCCCGGUAAGUCCGCUGUGAAAGUCCAGGGCUCAACCCUGGGAUGCCGGUGGAUACUGUCGGGCUCGAGUCCGGAAGAGGAGUGUGGAAUUCCUGGUGUAGCGGUGAAAUGCGCAGAUAUCAGGAGGAACACCAAUGGCGAAGGCAGCGCUCUGGGACGUGACUGACGCUGAGACGCGAAAGCGUGGGGAGCAAACAGG
rnacentral:rRNA from 1 species